rnacentral:rRNA from 1 species
UACAUGUGGGGCAAGCAUUGUUCGGAAUUACUGGGCAUAAAGGGUGCGUAGGUGGCUUGUUAAGUCAGGGGUGAAAGUUUUCGGCCCAACCGGAAAAUGGCCUUUGAUACUGGCGAGCUCGAGUGCGUGAGGGGUAACCGGAACGAGCAGUGUAGCGGUGAAAUGCGUAGAUAUUGCUCGGAAGGCCAACGGCGAAGGCAGGUUACUGGUGCGCAACUGACACUGAGGCACGAAAGCGUGGGGAGCAAACAGGG